ensembl:lncRNA
UGUUAGCCAUGCAUGCACCAUGGAUGAGGCCAGACCUACAAUUAUUAAACGGGCAAUCUGCGAUUGGUACAUCCAUUUGAAAUAACUUAUAAAUGUACCUGCCUCAUGAGGUUAGUGUGACUGCUUUGUUAUUGUUGUUUGAACUGCAGACUGGCCCUUCAAAGCUAUGGGGUGGGUUUCCAUUUGUGAAAUUCUACAGGUUUUUGUCUAUUUGAGUUGCCGAAUUCUAGUAACUUUUUCAAGAUUCCCAGUCUUGCAGAAAGCCCAGUUGGGAUGCAAACUGGGAAUUUCGGGAAAUGUAUCAGCAUUUUGCAACUGUCUUUCCAUCUGUGACAUCCGGCGCAUGCCGUACGAUGAUGUAUCGGGAGGUAUCAAGAGAAGAAUGGGUGUGUUUAUAAAUCAACAGACAUGAAAACAACACAAUACAUCAUAAGGUCAAAUGCAUCAACACACCCUAACGUGAGUAAGCAGCUCAGAAUACUGUUCUUUCUGCAACCUCUCCCCUACUUCCUUCCAAUAUUGCAUGUUAUCCGUGCAGCUGUGCGUUCAUGCUUAGAGAUAAUUGACAAAAAAAAAAGAAAAUUGAAAACACUCCACCUGGAGGGUUAAUAGUCAAGUGUUUCACGUUACUGAUUAAACGCUCACUGGUUAGCUGUGAAUUGUUGCUGAAUGAACAGCAUGUGGGAGUACUUUACUGUUUGUCUGUGUUGUGUUUCUGGGCAGAGCUGGGUUCACGUAGUAUUUGUUUCCUUUGAAUGUUUGAUUGAGCCAUUCCGGAGUGCCAUUUGAGCAGGGUUUGCACCUUGCACUUUUGGUACUAUUCCAUUGGCUCCAUGUGCAACAGGCAAGCUCAGUCAAGCGCAGAUGACGUAUUUGAAAGGUCACAAAUACUAUCCGAACCCAUGCCUGGUUUCUGGGUAGCUGUCAGGCUCCUGGUUCUGGGUAGCCUUUCCUCAUAUAAUAUAUUUGAUGUGCUCGUUUUUGUUCCAUUGUUGUUAUCCAGAGUCUACGUGUUGUUUCAUAGACCUACUCCACAUUGGCUGGAGACAGAGCAAUGAAACAAGCCCGAAAUGGGAGCAUAUCUCCAAAACAGACAAAUUAGUUUGGAUUAUGCGUCAUUUAAGUGCAAAUGAAUUGGAAGAUAAGCCAGCAUGGAGUCUGGUUGGGGUACAUGGAUGCCAACAAGUGCAUCGAGGAGCUACUCAAACAGCUGGACGAAGAGCGGAGGAAUGUCCGAAGGGAGAAACUGGCCGUGGCUCGCCUGCAGAGGGAAGUCGCACGAAGCAAAAGCGAAGGAACAAUGGUACUGUUGAUGCUCUGUCUUACACACAGACACACCACACACACACAUUAUCAGUCUUAAACCCACAGCCCACAGUUGUAGGCAUGCCAGUCCUGCUCGGUCAUCGACCAAGGUCACUGCACUGCUAACUUUCCUCAACCAAAAACAUAUAUUUACGUUGGGUCUUGCAGCACUAUUCCGGGUGGCAAUUCUAGGUCUUGCUCCCAUCGCCAUGGUAUUAUCAACCCAUAUUAUGGCUCAUUAGUGCUGCAGAUUUCAGGGAUGACGUCAAAUGUAGCGCUUAAACACACACACACACAGACACACACACACACAGACACACACAGCGGUUGUAUAACAAGGGGAAAGCAGACCAGGGAGCCAGUCGUGCUGACGCAGAGGGCGUGAGGUAGGGUUCGCAGUGAGUGGACUGACAGUGUGACAGAGCAGAUACCAGCUGACCACGGUCUCUAGAGCGACAGCCAGGCCUUGGACUCAGCUGUUUAGAACCGCAGUAAAGCCCCAAAUAGCUUCAUAAAAGAGCGCUAUGGCAGCAAUCCUAAAGCAGACUUGAGAUUUACAUACUCUAGGAUCACCAUAUCUACAAUGCUUUUUCGUGGUGGUAGUGGUCUCGAGUUCCAGCCUGGGCUCGUAACAUUAAAACACAGUAGGACAGACAUGGAUAUGAACAACACUAUAUACUGUAUAGAGUGGCAAGCAUACGCAUCAUGACAAUGGCCGCAUACUGUACAUAGCCUUCUUUGUAUAGAUGGUCCUGUAUGGCUCAGUUGGUAGAGCAUGGUGCUUGCACUGCCAGGGUUGUGGGUUUGAUUCCCACAUGGGACCAGUAUGAAAAUGUAUGCACUUAUUGCUGUAAGUUGCUCUGGAUAAAAACAUUCGCUAAAUGACGAUGUCGAUGGUAAGAGAAAUGUUUCCUGGAAGCCCCCCAUGGAGUCUUUGGAAAAGACUUGGAUGUUAGUUUGUGACUGUGAAGAACGACCUACCCAGUGUAUUGAUUUCUGCAAUGCGGUUCCUGAGGCAUGCUGUAGCUGUCUGCAAGGUCAGACGUGACCAUGCAAUCAGAGUCACAUGUGUCUUAACACAGUGCAGGCUCUCGCUGUUGAGGCUCACUGUAGCAAAUUCCAUACAGUCCCAGCACAAGAGAAGGAAGUUCCCACAUAGCUCUUAUCUCAGGCUCCAUUGGGAAACUCUGUGUGUCAGCACCUCGUCCUGUAGUCAGUCAGACUAAGAGACUGAUUAGCCUCUGACCUUAGUGAAGAGCUAGGAGGGAAAUAUCUACUGCCUGGCUGAGCGAGGCUUUCUCUGACUACUGCUUCUUCGAGUCAUGAGAGUGGAUGCCAUGCUAAUUACAACUCCGGGUGUGUUUGUGAGGAAAGGGGGGUGGAGGAGGGAUGAGUUAUCUAUGCCAGACAGGAGGAGGGGAAGGGAGUGGUAAAAGAAGAAUGUGGGGUGUGUGUGUGUCUCUCUGAGCUCCAUUUUGAAAUUGGGAUUAUCCCUCCUCUCACACACACAUGCCUGGGAGAUGCUCCUCUCCUCUGGGAGCUCAGGCAUGGUCUUUAGGGUCUUUAAUAGAAAUCAAACCAGAGGGCUGCAUCAGGGAGAUAAUUGUUAAUGUGAUGGCAAGGUGAAAUAGAGAGUAACCUCCUCACACACAGACAAGUAAUGAUAUACAGAUACCAACACAGACACACACACAGCCUCCAGAAGACGACAGAUGAAAUGCUGUAGACUUUGAAGUGUGCAUCUCUGACCCUCCUCUUUAACUAGUUAUGCUCUCUUCUCUGUGGCGGGAGG